CCUACGGGAGGCAGCAGUGGGGAAUUUUGGACAAUGGGCGCAAGCCUGAUCCAGCAAUGCCGCGUGAGUGAAGAAGGCCUUCGGGUUGUAAAGCUCUUUUGUCAGGGAAGAAACGGUGGGAGCUAAUAUCUCCUACUAAUGACGGUACCUGAAGAAUAAGCACCGGCUAACUACGUGCCAGCAGCCGCGGUAAUACGUAGGGUGCAAGCGUUAAUCGGAAUUACUGGGCGUAAAGCGUGCGCAGGCGGUUUUGUAAGUCUGUCGUGAAAGCCCCGGGCUCAACCUGGGAAUUGCGAUGGAGACUGCAAGGCUUGAAUCUGGCAGAGGGGGGUAGAAUUCCACGUGUAGCAGUGAAAUGCGUAGAGAUGUGGAGGAACACCGAUGGCGAAGGCAGCCCCCUGGGUCAAGAUUGACGCUCAUGCACGAAAGCGUGGGGAGCAAACAGGAUUAGAUACCCUGGUAGUCCACGCCCUAAACGAUGUCUACUAGUUGUCGGGUUUUAAUUAACUUGGUAACGCAGCUAACGCGUGAAGUAGACCGCCUGGGGAGUACGGUCGCAAGAUUAAAACUCAAAGGAAUUGACCGGNUGAGAGNGCGAGACGACGACGAGGAGAGG
rnacentral:rRNA from 1 species